rnacentral:rRNA from 1 species
AACAAACGCUGGCGGCGUGUCUUAAGCAUGCAAGUCGAGCGGCAAGGGCAGCAAUGCCCCUAGAGCGGCGGACUGGUGAGUAACGCGUGGGUGAUCUGCCCAUGGCAUGGGGAUAGCCAUUAGAAAUAGUGGGUAAUACCGAAUACGCUUGGUAUCGUGAGGGUAUCAAGGAAAGGUGCUACGGCACCGGCCAUGAGAUGAGCUUGCGUCCCAUUAGCUAGUUGGUGAGGUAAAGGCCCACCAAGGCGAUGAUGGGUAGCCGGCCUGAGAGGGUGUACGGCCACACUGGGACUGAGAUACGGCCCAGACUCCUACGGGAGGCAG